AUUAUUUCCAAUCACACGGCUGUAACUUUUCACCGUUGGCCCUUGUAGCUUCAAAAGACAAACGAUGAGCAAUACCGUAGAAUUCAAAAAACUGAGCAUGCUCUUCAGGUGGCAGAGGAGGAGCUUCUAAGAGUACAAUUGGAAGCAACAGCUAAGUCAAAGGAAUUAUCACAGGCUCAUGGAGCAUGGUUUCCUCCUUGGCUUGCUACUCACGCCAAUUACUAUAAGGAACUUGCAACAACUCACUGGAAGGAGCG